UGAGAUAUYUUAGUGGCGGACGGGUGARUAACACGUGARCAACCUGCCUMUGAGAGAGGGAUAGCUUCUGGAAACGGAUGGUAAUACCUCAUAACAUAACGAAGCCGCAUGACUUUGUUAUCAAAGAUUUAUCACUCAGAGAUGGGCUCGCGUCUGAUUAGAUAGUUGGUGAGGUAACGGCCCACCAAGUYGACGAUCAGUAGCCGGACUGAGAGGUUGAACGGCCACAUUGGGACUGAGACACGGCCCAGACUCCUACGGGAGGCAGCAGUGGGGAAUAUUGCACAAUGGGGGAAACCCUGAUGCAGCGAUGCCGCGUGGAGGAAGAAGGUUUUCGGAUUGUAAACUCCUUGUCUUUAAAGGA
rnacentral:rRNA from 1 species